rnacentral:misc_RNA from 1 species
CCCGCCCGCGGGCCCGCCAUGCCAUUCAUCAUAGGCCGCAUGACGGGUCGCAAUUGGCGAAAAAAGGCCUAUAUUAGAGUUUCUUCUGGAAUGAAUGACUCUAGGCCGCGCGGCUCUCCCGAUGGACCCGCCUCCGGCCAUCCGUUUCCAUCGAAUCCCAAUCGAGAAGGCCGAGAUCAUGGCUGCGUUCAAUUACAACACCGAAGCCGAACUCUUUCCUGCGGCGAUCCGCAAGAAAAAG